GAGAGGCAGGCUGGGUCCGUCUGGCAGCCUACGAGAAGAGGCGGGAGCGGGAAAGGAGGGGAGCCGAGGCCCGGCGUGGGGAGGCCGGCAGGAAGGGCUUCGAGCCCUGUGCGGACCUUUUUUCAGCCUCCAAGCGGCCGCGCGGCGCGCUAGGCUGCCGCGCCGUGAGGACGCCCCGACUUCCUCCAGACUAGCGCUCGGCAGGAGCAGAAAUAGCGAGACCUGGACUUGCGGCGCGCCCCCGUGACCGCGGCUUUGGCGGGAGCGCGGCGAGCCCCCUGGCGCGGGACCCUGCAGUGGGAAAGCCGAGCUGGAAGAAACCUUAAGAUGUCCUGGCCCGACACUUCGUGCUCCAGAGAAGGAAAAGACGGCUCGGAGCGAGCUUGAACACCGCGGCAGACCCCGGGCUGGAACUCAGCUCGCAGGCCCACCACCAAGGCUCCUUUCCCUUCACCAAGUUUGCAGCCAGGAGGAGAGGUAUGAAUGGACACUUGGGUUGUUUCCAUAUCUUGGCUAUUAUAAAUAAUGCUGCAAUAAUCAUAAGGGUGCCUGGAGUCAUCUUAAAUGAGCUUUAUCCAAAAGGACUGCCUAAUAAGCAAUAGGAUCCCAAAAGAGAGUCUAUGAAGAGAUGGACCUGCUGAGAAGCAAAUCACAGUGAAUUGUAGGUGAGAGAUGCCUACCAAUGAAUGGAGAGAGAAGUAAAUGCUCUGAGGAAUCCUGUAAGGAACUGAAAUACCCUGCAAGGGAAAAAACCAAGAGUCAGCUUUGACACCUGCCAAACCAGACAGCAAUGAUGGCAAAUCAUGAAAGUACCAGCAGGCAGGAGCUUUCCUGUGCCCUUAACUCUAUCUACCAUCUUGAACCCUGGUGUGAUCAGAAACAGUGCAAGUUAGCAAUUGAAGAGAGAAAGAAAGACAAGUUGGGAAAAUAGAAGAAUAUCUAUCCAAGCUGUACUGUAUACCACAGGCCUGCCUUCUGUUGCAUGGCUGAUUAGCCUACAGCACAACUGAAGAGGCAGAAGCCAUCCUGCCUCUAUGAUUAGACAAGCAUGAAGAUAAAAGCUUCCCUGUGAGGAUAAUGGGACAAAGUGAAAGAAGGGGCCUAGACUCCCUUCCUUUAGACUUCUUGUUAUCUGAGGAAAAUAAAAUGCUAUUACAAGUUUAAGCACAGAGAUGGGCUUCUAUUUCGUGCAUAUCAAUACAUCACAAUUCAUAUAAUGUCCAUUAAUUGGCAAAAGUAUCCAUUUUAAAGGAUUACUAUGAGAGACUAACAGAUACCUAACCACAAUUAAAUCUCAGAAAAAUUAGUUUUUUAACCCAUCGUGUUUUUGAAAUUGAUCUCUCACAGUCAGUUAUCAAACUCUUAAAUACGUUUGAACAUUGCUAUGCAUUGUUACAGUGAAUCCUGUUAUUUUCUAGGUGUAUUGUGUGUUUGCCCACAUGCACAUGUGUGUGUAUUUACAUAUACUCAAGGAGCCUGAAGGAACCAUGAUUUUAUAGGCCACUCAAUGCCCAAACUCAUAUCUCUAACUCAUUCUUUUUUUUUUAAGAUUUUAUGUAUUUUGGGG